AUCAGGUCAAAGCGUUAUGAGGACGUUCCAGAAAUCACUUCAAUACUGGAGAGUCUUGACAAGGAUUGUUGUUACAACCCAAUGAAUUUAAGGCAAGGUGCCCAAUCCUGCUCCUGGGGAGGCAAGAUCCUGACAAAAAGCAUCAAAGAGGGGGAGAAAGGAUAAACGAAUAACGAAAAACAAAGGAUUUAAUGUAUAAAUCUGGUACUUCAAGCAUCCUAUAUUUUACCAACAACAAACCAAAGGAUGAGGACAGCAGCAUUGCUGGGCCUGCCGUGUUGCAUGCGAGAGACAUGGUGACAUGCGAGAGAUGUAGUGCAUGCGAGAGACAGCUUACCUCGCAAGAUAUGCGAGGUAAGCUGAAACAUAUUCUAUAGAGCCCAGUGACCGUGAAGACGAUGUGAUCAAGGGUGUGGUGAUUGGAAUCCUAGUGGUUGUGGACCUCUCCCAGCGUUCUACAAUGACGUUGCCCUGAUGAUUGAGGAAGAAGUGGUAAUGCGUCACCUGAGUGAUGUACCUAAUGCUUUUCUGAACCUGAUGGGCCUGGUGUACGCAUUAAACAGGGUUUCUGCAGGAUUUUUAAGCUCAAAUUUAAGACUUUUUAAGACCUGCACAAAUAAAAUUAAUACCAUAUUAGCGAGGUAGGGCAAUGUCUAUAGUACCAUAUUAAACUGUAAAAUGACUGUAAAAAGCAUAAUUUACAAUUCAGCUACAGAUUUUCACAAACUUUUAUAAAAUUAUAAAUUUUACAUUUCAAACUUUAAACCAUUUUUAAAGUAAAAAGUAU